GAGUUUGAUCCUGGCUCAGAUUGAACGCUGGCGGCAGGCCUAACACAUGCAAGUCGAGCGGUAGAGAGAAGCUUGCUUCUCUUGAGAGCGGCGGACGGGUGAGUAAUGCCUAGGAAUCUGCCUGGUAGUGGGGGAUAACGCUCGGAAACGGACGCUAAUACCGCAUACGUCCUACGGGAGAAAGCAGGGGACCUUCGGGCCUUGCGCUAUCAGAUGAGCCUAGGUCGGAUUAGCUAGUUGGUGAGGUAAUGGCUCACCAAGGCGACGAUCCGUAACUGGUCUGAGAGGAUGAUCAGUCACACUGGAACUGAGACACGGUCCAGACUCCUACGGGAGGCAGCAGUGGGGAAUAUUGGACAAUGGGCGAAAGCCUGAUCCAGCCAUGCCGCGUGUGUGAGGAAGGUCUUCGGAUUGUAAAGCACUUUAAGUUGGGAGGAAGGGCAGUAAAUUAAUACUUUGCUGUUUGACGUUACCGACAGAAUAAGCACCGGCUAACUCUGUGCCAGCAG
rnacentral:rRNA from 1 species